AGCUUUGCGCAGUGGCAGUAUUGUAGCCAAUGAGGUUUAUCCGAGGCGCGAUUAUUGCUAAUUAAAUACUGUGAAUGUUCUAUUCCUUAAUCUGGGUGGUGAGUAUGGAGAUGUUUAUUAUUGUCAUGUAUUCAUUAGU